UUGACCCUUAGUUAAUGUUAUUAAUGAGCUGAUAAUGCUUAUUGUGAAGACUGGGCUUGAAAAAAAUAAUUUCAACAUGGCAGUCAUUUUUAAAAUAUGCGAAGUGAAAAUCUUGUGAAGAAAAUGUGAGAAAUACACUGUAUAAAAAUGAAAUUGAAUUCAGUGAAGAAUCAUCUGAUGAUGAAUACCAGCUAAUUGCUGAUAAUGAUGGAUAGAAUGAUUUGCUUUGUAAUUCUGUAACAAGUGCAGAUGAAAAUGAUGAAGAAAACACAAGUACAGAUGGUGAUGAUUGCAUUCCAUUGGCUCCAAGAGUCAAGUCUUUUGCUGACAAUGAGACAAAAAAGACAAAAAAGGGUGUUUAUUGAUGACGAAGACAUAGAUAUGUGCAUGUUGAAAAGCCUUUCAUGGGUGAUCAGUAUAUUGUACCUGAACCUCCACCAUCACCUUUGACAAUUUUUCAACAGUUUGUAAACAAAGAGAUGCUUGAAAACAUGUGUCAGCAAACUAACAUUUAUAGUGUUGUGAAAACUGGAACAUCUGUUAUGAUGAGGUAAAUGACUCAUCAAAAGGAAUUACCAUUGUCAGAUGGCUGGACAAAAAGGCAGUGAAAUUGGUAUCUACUUACUGUGGAGCAGAACCAUUAGGUGUUGCAAGGAGAUGGGAAAAGAAGGAGAAGCACCAUUUGGAAAUUCCCAAGCCAAAGCUUGUAGAUGAGUACAAUAAGUUCAUGGGGGCAUUGACUUAAUGGACAUGCUUUGCUCAUUGUACAAGUAUUCCAUAAGAUCAAGGCGAUGGUAUCUUUACCUUUGGUUUCAUACCCUUACAGUGGCUAUGGUCAAUUCAUGGCUUCUUUUCAGAAAAAAUCAGAGAGGAAAGAAACAAAUCAAACUUCGUGACUUUCAAGCAACAAUUGCAGAGGGAUUGAUUAAGGCAGGAAAAGAAAGAAAAAGAAGGCGAUCUUCCAAUGCCUCGACAUCUCGAAAAAAACCAACCACUCAACCAAAUGAAGAGAUACAGUUUAAUAAAAUAGAUCAUAUGCCUCUCUGGGAUGACAGACAUCGUCAGAGAUGUAAAAUUUGCUCUGCCUUUUGCUCUCAUGUUGUCUGUGGCAAAUGCAAUGUUUAUCUCUGCUUCAAUAAAGACAGAAAUUGCUUUAUGGAAUACCACACAAAUAAAUAAAAUCAUAAAGAUUUCUACAUACUGACAGAUUAAAGUAUUGAUUGAUUAAAACUCUUGUUAUAUUCACAA